GCAUAUCAAUAAGCGGAGGAAAAGAAACCAACAGGGAUUGCCCCAGUAACGGCGAAGUGAAGCGGCAAGAGCUCAAAUUUGAAAUCUGGCCCCGUCGGGGUCCGAGUUGUAAUUUGCAGAGGAUGCUUCGGGUGCGGCCCCCGUCUAAGUGCCCUGGAACGGGCCGUCAUAGAGGGUGAGAAUCCCGUCUGGGACGGGUGGCCGCGUCCGUGUGAAGCUCCUUCGACGAGUCGAGUUGUUUGGGAAUGCAGCUCUAAAUGGGUGGUAAAUUUCAUCUAAAGCUAAAUACUGGCCGGAGACCGAUAGCGCACAAGUAGAGUGAUCGAAAGAUGAAAAGCACUUUGAAAAGAGAGUUAAAUAGCACGUGAAAUUGUUGAAAGGGAAGCGCUUGCGACCAGACUCGCCCGCGGGGGCUCAGCCGGCACUCGUGCCGGUGCACUCCCCCGUGGGCGGGCCAGCGUCGGUUUGGGCGGUCGGUCAAAGGCCCCCGGAAUGUGUCGCCCUUCGGGGCGUCUUAUAGCCGGGGGUGCAAUGCGGCCAGCCCGGACCGAGGAACGCGCUUCGGCACGGACGCUGGCGUAAUGGUCGUAAGCGACCCGUCUUGAAACACGGACCAAGGAGUCUAACAUCUACGCGAGUGUUCGGGUGUUAAACCCGUCCGCGCAGUGAAAGCGAACGGAGGUGGGAACCCCCUCGCGGGGUGCACCAUCGACCGAUCCUGAUGUCUUCGGAUGGAUUUGAGUAAGAGCGUAGCUGUUGGGACCCGAAAGAUGGUGAACUAUGCCUGAAUAGGGCGAAGCCAGAGGAAACUCUGGUGGAGGCUCGCAGCGGUUUCUGACGUGCAAAUCGAUCGUCAAAUUUGGGUAAUAGGGGCGAAAGACUAAUCGAACCAUCUGGUAGCUGGUUCCUGCCGA
rnacentral:rRNA from 1 species